GCGGCCUGCGCCCGGCCCGGUACCCGCGGGCGGCAGGGUACGUGAAAUGGCAGCAGAUGACAAGCGGUCUCCAACACUGGAUUCUACCAGUGAUCUACCUCGUUCUCCUAGCAGUCCAUCUCAUCUCACUCACUUCAAACCCCUGACUCCUGACCAGGAUGAGCCUCCUUUUAAAUCAGCCUACAGCUCUUUUGUAAAUCUCUUCCGUUUCAGCAAGGAUGAUGGCAGGCUUUCAUCCCCAGCGGAGAGAGCAGAAGCAGCACAGGCUGAUUCACAGGCACUGAGCAGCAGCUGGUCCAGUCCUCAGCAUCCCCCCAGGGCUCAGUCUCUGAGGUCACCAGUUACGUACAAAAAACAACUAACUGGUGAGCUGCAAAGACGAUCUUCCUCAACCCUAGACAAUCGAAGGAAAGUGGAACCUCCUCUGGGAGGUCAUGAUCCUCGAACAGCAGUUCAGUUAAGAAGCCUCAGCACUGUCUUAAAACGCCUCAAAGAAAUCAUGGAAGGGAAGAGCCAGGACAGUGACUUGAAGCAGUACUGGAUGCCUGACAGCCAGUGCAAAGAGUGCUAUGACUGUAGUGAGAAAUUCACCACCUUCCGUCGGAGGCACCACUGUCGGCUUUGUGGGCAGAUCUUCUGUAGUAGAUGCUGCAAUCAAGAAAUCCCUGGGAAAUUCAUGGGCUACACAGGGGAUCUCCGAGCCUGUACUUACUGCCGCAAAAUAGCCUUAAGCUAUGCACACUCCACAGAUAGCAAUUCCAUUGGAGAAGAUUUAAAUGCUCUGUCAGAUUCUGCGUGUUCAGUGUCAGUGUUGGAUCCUGGUGAGCCUCGCACUCCAGUUGGGAGCCGUAAAGCUAGCCGCAACAUCUUUCUGGAGGAGGAUCUAACCUGGCAAAGUUUGAUUCACCCAGACUCUUCAACUACAACGCUGUCUGCACGCCUUGGGUCUGUCCAGGAGGAUGCAGGGAAGUCUCCAGCUAGGAAUAGAUCAGCCAGCAUCACUAACCUGUCGCUGGAUCGGUCGGGUUCGCCGAUGGUGCCUUCCUAUGAGACAUCCGUCAGCCCCCAGGCCAGUCGCACACAUAUGAAGGCAGAGACCAGCGAGGAUGAGCGCAAAAUCCUUCUGGACUCAGUCCAGCUGAAAGAUCUGUGGAAGAAAAUCUGCCAUCACAGUAGUGGGAUGGAGUUCCAGGACCAUCGCUACUGGCUGCGGACACAUCCCAACUGCAUUGUGGGAAAAGAGCUGGUGAACUGGCUCAUCAGAAAUGGACACAUAACCACAAGGGUUCAAGCCAUUGCUAUUGGGCAAGCACUAGUUGAUGGACGCUGGCUAGAUUGUGUCAGUCAUCAUGAUCAGCUCUUCAGAGACGAGUAUGCCCUGUACCGACCAUUGCAGAGCACAGAGUUUUCGGAAACCCCCUCUCCAGACAGUGACUCUGUGAACUCUGUAGAGGGGCACUCAGAGCCAUCCUGGUUCAAAGACAUCAAAUUUGAUGACAGUGACACAGAGCAGAUUGCUGAUGAAGGAGAAGAUAACUUGGCCAACUCCGCCAGCCCUAGCAAGCGCACUUCAGUCAGCAGCUUCCAGUCCACAGUGGACAGUGAUUCAGCCGCCUCCAUCAGCCUGAACGUGGAGAUGGACAACGUGAACUUCCAUAUCAAGAAGCACUCCAAGUACCCACAUGUGCCCCCUCACCCUGCCGACCAAAAAGAGUACUUGAAUCCUGACAACGGAGGGCAGCAGAUGUUCUCUAUAAGUGAUGCUUUUAUUAAAGAAUCAUUAUUCAACAGGAGGGUGGAGGAGAAGUCCAAAGAACUCUUUUUCACACCGCUAGGCUGGCACCACAGCAACCUGGAUCUGCUGAGAGAAGAGAAUGGGGAGAAACAAGCCAUGGAAAGGCUGCUCUCUGCUAACCACAACCACAUGAUGGCGCUGCUUCAGCAACUUCUGUACAAUGAGUCGCUGUCACUGUCGUGGAGGGAUAUCAUUGUACCUGUGGUCUGUCAGGUAGUUCAAACUGUAAGGCCUGAUGUCAAGAACAGAGAUGAUGACAUGGAUAUCCGCCAGUUUGUCCACAUCAAAAAAAUCCCUGGUGGAAAGAAGUUUGACUCCAUGGUGGUGAAUGGAUUUGUAUGCACUAAGAAUGUUGCACAUAAGAAGAUGAACUCUUGCAUAAAAAAUCCCAAAAUUCUUCUGCUGAAGUGUUCAAUAGAGUACCUUUAUAGAGAAGAAACAAAAUUUACCUGCAUAGACCCUAUAGUACUUCAGGAGAGGGAGUUCCUGAAGAACUAUGUGCAACGGAUAGUUGAUGUCAGGCCUAAUUUGGUCCUUGUUGAAAAGACUGUGUCUCGAAUCGCCCAGGACAUGCUGCUAGAGCAUGGUAUCACCUUAGUCAUCAAUGUCAAGCCGCAAGUUUUAGACCGUGUAAGUCGAAUGACUCAGGGAGACUUGGUGAUGUCAAUGGAUCAACUGCUGACCAAACCACGUUUGGGAACCUGUCAUAAAUUUUACAUGCAGGUGUUUCAAUUGCCCUAUGAUCAAACAAAAACUCUAAUGUUCUUUGAAGGGUGUCCUCAGCACCUGGGUUGCACUAUCAAGUUGUGUGGUGCUGCAGAGUAUGAACUGGCCCGUGUGAAGGAGAUCUUGAUCUUUAUGAUCUGUGUGGCUUAUCAUUCCCAGCUGGAAAUCUCUUUCCUUAUGGAUGAAUUUGCCAUGCCCCCUACUCUCACCAAAAACACUUCCUUUCACUCCCUUAUUGAGGAACCAGGAGAUGAAAAUGAACAACAGGACCUGUUCAAUGGUGAGGAUUUCAGCACGACGAUCAGAGACAUUGAACCCUCAGCUGAAAAGCUUCCUGUGAUCUCUGAAUCAGUGUCAUCUGAUGAGGUCACCCUGCUUGAACAAAGAGGUUUAUUUGAGAGAGGUGACCAAGAGAACAGUCAGCUGGAAACAGUGCCCUCAAAACAGCAAGAGCACCACAAAAUGGAGUCGUCGUUUCCAGUGUUUCACUCUGUACCUCCGGUAGUGCCUGAAACAUCUCUGCUCCCCCUCCAUGGCAUGGACCAACACUUGGUGGCUCUGGACAGCCAGCUGCUAGAGCCUAUUCAACAGGCAGAUGAUCUGCAGGAAUCCAAGAAUCAGAUGAGAGUCUUCAGAGACCCUCUCCAGGAUGAUACUGGUUUAUAUGUUACAGAAGAGGUAACGUCUUCUGAGGAUCGUCUCAAGACGUACUCAGCAGCAUUUAAGCAAGAGCUGAAAGAUGUUAUUCUCUCAAUUUCUCCUGUAAUGGUGUUCCGUGAACCAUUUCUAUUGACUGAAAAAGGCAUGAGAUGCCCUGCUCGAGAAUACUUCCCUGAGCAGGUUUAUUGGUCUCCUCUCCUUAACAAGGAGUACAAGGAGUUGGAGAGUAGAAGGAAGAGACAGUUAUUGCGGGAUCUCUCUGGACUACAAGGGAUGAAUGGGAGUGUCCAAGCCAAGGCUAUCCAAAUUUUACCUUCCCAUGAGCUGGUCAGUACUAGAAUAGCAGAGCAUCUAGGUGAUAGCCGGAGUUUAGCCAGAAUGCUGGCUGACUAUCGAGCCAGGGGAGGGAGGAUACUACAGAGAAGCACAGAUCCCUUUGCCCAAAUGAAGGAUGUAUCCAGUGUCCCUGCUGGAAGAACCGGAUGCAAAAUUGAAGAGGAUGAGAAAGGACUGGCUCAAAAUGAAUCCUCCUGGUCUCAUAAGGUGGAUUGCUUGAGUCCAGUAAACCAUCAGAGGCUCUGUGUUCUCUUCAGUAGCUCUUCUGCACAGUCCAGCAAUGCUCCAAGUGCCUGUGUCAGCCCCUGGAUUGUGACCAUGGAAUUCUACGGAAAAAAUGACCUGACUCUAGGGAUUUUUCUGGAGCGCUACUGUUUUAGGCCUUCAUACCAGUGCCCCAGCAUGUUCUGUGAAACGCCAAUGGUGCAUCACAUUCGUCGCUUUGUGCAUGGGCAAGGAUGCGUGCAAAUUGUGUUAAAGGAGCUGGACUCCCCAGUCCCUGGGUACCAGCACACAAUUCUUACUUAUUCCUGGUGUAGGCUGUGCAAACAGGUGACACCAGUUGUUCCUCUUUCUAGUGAUUCUUGGUCUAUGUCUUUUGCAAAAUACCUUGAGCUGAGAUUCUAUGGGCACCAGUACACACGAAGGGCCAAUGCAGAGCCUUGUGGUCAUUCAAUUCACCAUGACUAUCACCAGUAUUUUUCUUACAAUCAGAUGGUGGCAUCUUUCAGCUACUCUCCAAUCCGUCUACUUGAAGUAUGUGUCCCACUACCCAAGAUCUAUAUCAAACGGCAGGCUCCGCUGAAAGUUACGAUUUUGCAGGACCUUAAGGACUUCUCUCAAAAGGUGUCACAAGUGUACCUUGCUGUUGAUGAUCGCCUCGCUUCUCUGAAAACUGACACUUUCAGCAAAACAAGGGAAGAGAAAAUGGAAGAUCUGUUUGCACAAAAGGAGAUGGAAGAGGGGGAAUUUCGAAACUGGACUGAGAAAAUUCAGGCAAGGCUCCUUUCAUCAUCACUGGACACACCUCAACAGCUUCAAUCUAUUUUUGAAUCUCUGAUUGCUAAAAAGCAAGGACUCUGUGAAAUGCUGCAAGCCUGGAAUAGUAGGUUGCAGGAUCUUUUCCAGCAAGAAAAAGGGAGAAAACGCCCCUCAGUACCUCCUAGCCCUGGAAGACUGAGACAAGGUGAAGAAAGCAAGAUCAGCAGCAUGGAUGCUUCCCCACGCAAUGUUUCUCCAGCACUCCAAAAUGGAGAAAAAGAGGAUCGUUUUCUGACUACUUUAUCAAGUCAGAGCUCCACAGGCUCCACGCAUCUUCAGUUGCCCACUCCUCCAGAGGUUGUGUCUGAACAACUAACUGGUGCCAACACACUUUCUGAACAGGAUACAACCAGUAGCUCAGAAGAUGUGUUUGAUGGACACUCACUGGGAUCUACUGACAGCCAAGUGAAAGAGAAGUCUACUAUGAAAGCUAUUUUGGCUAACUUAUUGCCUGGGAACAAUUACAACCCUAUUCCAUUUCCCUUUGACCCAGAUAAGCACUACCUAAUGUACGAGCAUGAGCGCGUACCUAUUGCAGUCUGUGAGAAAGAACCAAGCUCCAUCAUAGCUUUUGCUCUCAGUUGCAAGGAAUAUAGAAAUGCCCUUGAUGAGUUGUCCAAAGCAUCUCCAAAAAACGGUACUGAAGAAGGACUACAGGCAAACAGUACAUCAGAUGGCAAACCAAAGAGUGGUAGUCCUGUGCGCCUGCCUGAGGCUAACAUGGGUCCUUCAAAUCGUGCUGCUGAAGUGGAACAACCAAAGAAACCAUCUAGUGUUUUGUCUUUCUUCCGUGGCACGGGAGGGAAGAGCCCAGACCUGUCUUCCCAGAAGAAGGAGACCUUACGUGGUGCUGACAGCGCUUAUUACCAGGUUGGACAGAUGGGUAAAGAGGGAGCGGAGAACCAAGGAGCAGAGCCACAAGAUGAGGUAGAUGGAGGAGAUGGACAGAAGAAACAGCUGGUGAAUCCCCAUGUGGAACUCCAGUUCUCAGAUGCGAAUGCCAAGUUCUACUGCAGGAUUUAUUAUGCUGGCGAGUUUCACAAGAUGCGUGAAGUGAUACUGGGGAGCAGUGAAGAGGACUUCAUCCGCUCCCUCUCUCACUCGAUGCCCUGGCAGGCACGAGGUGGCAAAUCUGGGGCUGCGUUCUAUGUGACUGAAGAUGAUAGAUUCAUCUUGAAGCAGAUGCCUCGCCUGGAAGUCCAGUCAUUCCUUGACUUUGCUCCACACUACUUCACUUACAUCACUAAUGCAGUUCAGCAGAAGAAGCCCACAGCGCUGGCCAAAAUCCUUGGGGUGUAUCGAAUUGGAUAUAAGAACUCUCAAAACAACACUGAAAAGAAACUGGAUCUGCUUGUCAUGGAAAACCUUUUCUAUGGAAGGAAAAUGGCUCAGGUUUUUGACUUAAAGGGCUCCCUCCGGAAUAGGAAUGUUAAAACAGACACAGGGAAAGAAAGCUGUGAUGUCGUUCUAUUGGAUGAGAACCUUCUGAAGAUGGUCCGUGACAACCCUUUGUACAUCCGUUCCCACUGCAAGGCUGUGCUGAGAGCUUCUAUACACAGUGAUUCCCAGUUCCUCUCCAGCCACCUCAUCAUAGACUAUUCCCUGCUGGUGGGUCGUGAUGAUACAAACAAUGAGCUGGUUGUGGGGAUUAUUGACUAUAUUCGCACUUUUACCUGGGACAAAAAACUUGAAAUGGUGGUGAAGUCAACUGGCAUCUUGGGGGGACAAGGUAAGAUGCCAACUGUGGUCUCCCCAGAACUGUACCGGACCAGGUUUUGUGAAGCUAUGGACAAGUAUUUCCUGAUGGUGCCAGACCAUUGGACAGGGCUUGGCCUGAAUUGCUAAACUAAAGCCCAUAUUGGCAAAGCACAGGUGGACAAUGGUGUGUUACAGGUCACUCUCUUUCUGUGGUCUGCCCAGCAGUAAGCAAGAGGAUUCCACAUCUGUACUGACCACACGCGUCAUGUUGUAAGGUGUGAAAUUUGCUUGUUGCACUUUAAUCCUUUCUUGAAGGAUGAUGAGUGGGCCAGUCUCAUCAAGGAUUUAAGCUGUACGGUACCGCUGAAGAGCACUGAUGAGAGACUUUCCCUCUGUCGGUAGGGAAGGUGGUGAUAUCUCCAUGUAUGAGCAUUGAAACCAACGCUAUCUCUUUCAUGGUGGUACAGAAGUACAUGAUCUCUAUAAGUCUUGCACUCCUUAAUUGGUGUUGAGUAUGAGUAGCUCAUGUUUCUGUAGUGGAUAUGUGGUAUUGCAAAUGUGAAAUAAGCACUCCUGCCCCAUGCGGAUGAGUGAAGGAAGAAUCAAGUUAAUUCUGAAGUUAUGCUGUGGUUGCAGUGAUCUGUAGUUGACCUGUUUAGGACCCAAGAAUAACUUAUGCGCGUGCUUUUUUUUUUUUUUUUUUUUUAAAGGCAGCUCCGCAGCUCUGAUGCCGUUACUCUCUAAAUCACUACAACUCCCGCUUUCAACAGCGCUGUGUGAGAGAGCAUUUUACCCAGAAGGUGGCGGUGUUUCAAUGACCCAAUUCUUCCAAGAGGCAGAUCUUCAGAAAACGUCUCCAGAUAAAAUUCCAGAGGAGUGGAAGGAGGCAGACAGUGGAGCUCUGAUUCGACGAUUUACAUCUACUUUAACAGGCUACUGACCUUAAAACUGGCCGCUGCUAAACAAGAAAGAAAAAGCCACGUUCCUGAGUUUCAGUUCAACCUACUGAAAUGCGACAGCAGAUUAAAAUGGCAGGUGUUUGAAGCCAGCAAUGACUGGGAUGAAAAUAUUAUAGAAGCCUAUUUUAAUAGCUUUUAAUGAAAAUUUUUCCAUGCAUCAGAACGUGUGACUGUAGUGUGCAAUCACUUUCUAAACUGAGGUACUUACUAAUACUGAUGGGCUGUGCUUGAUUUUUGAGGAAAGAGUCUUAUUUCAGGAUAUCCCCGAACAUUUUCUUGGUGACAGAAGGAGUAAAAUUUUUGACAGUCCACGCUGCCAACACUGAUUAAUCCAUUUAACAUCUAGGAAAAGAAACAAUCAAACAUGCUAAUUGAUAAUACUGCUGUCUCAGAAUUGAUGUCUGAAUUGCUUGAAUUAACUGAGCUGAAGAACAAAACCAACCAAGGUGAUUCAAGGCUUUCUUCUUUCCUUUGAAUGGCUCACUGGUAUCUACUGGGAGCCAGCCAUCCAGCUGUGCUGCUAGCAGCCAGUAUCAUUUUAGUGUAAGGUGUGAUGUAUGUGGCUUACAAGGCACCUGUCUUGGCUUAAAAGGAACACGCAAGGGGUGGCUAUUGGGUAUGGCUACCAUGUUUCAUAUCUCAGGCUCAGCAGUUAAGACAGAUCCCAGUACACUGUAGCUAUGCUAUGGGUUUCACAGCUUGCAAGUGUCUUAGACAUGCUGAAUUUGUUGCGAAGGCCCAAACCCACCUAGCAAGGGUUAGAGUGUAUUCUGUAGGCCUUGUGAUACUUCACAGAUGUUUGAUGCAGAGCUUCAGAUAGAACUCCUAGUCCAGGCUAGUUUAAAGAAUCUGAAAGUCACAGGCUAGCUUUCAAAUCCCUCUUGUUUUGCCCAAAGUUUCUACUUUGGAUUCCUAAAAAAUGUCCAAGAAAGCUCAGAUGACUGUUGGUGAUUGUGGUACUACCUUUGCAAAUGAGAACACUAAUGGCCUUGCAAAAGAAAAAUAUCCUCCCAUACCCAAUUAGUGUGAGUGGGAAGGAUGUGAAAUUCAGUUAACUGAUCAUCACCCUUAAAGAGUGCUGAAUUUAACAUUUAUUUACUUUCAGUAAAGAAACAAAAUCUCUGGAAAAAAUAUCUUGCAAGGACAAGAAUUAAUUAAGAUAUGUAAGACUAAAUUCCUCUAAUCUUAAGUCAAAACCAGAGCUUUCACCAAGGUCUAGGUGCCAUCUUAGAAGUAACUAAUGGUCAUAGAGAAUAACUGUGAAUAAAGGGGUAAAUUAUUGCAAUUAAUUCUUACCCACUUUAUAGAUAAAUCUUUAAUUUUUCAGAUUUUAUUUUAAACAAAUACAGAGCUGUUAUCUCUGUCAGGUGUUAAGUAUUAAAGUUCCUCACAGCUUUGAAAACACACCUUUUAACAGCAUUAACAGGAAGCACUGGAUUACAGAGUUAAUGUGCUGAAAAACAUACAAAAAGCUUAGUAUCUGGAGCAGUGUAGAACUGCUAAGUAUGAAUUCCUGUUUUGUUCAUAAUAUUAAUCACUAGACUUUUUCAGCACACAAAUUUAAGACAGCAGUAACUCCACAGAAUGAAACAUAAAAGCAGAACAACACUUGAAUGUCACUUACCCUGGCCAUUUUUUUCCAUUCUGGCAUUAAAGCCUGACAAGGUCCACACCAUGGAGCAUAGAAAUCAACCAUCCAGAUUUCCUCUCGUUUUCUUCUCUCAACUAAUUCUACAAAUGUCUCUGGUGUUAGGGAGAUCACGGAUGGAUUCCUAAGAUCCUAUGGCAAAGGCAGUUUAUGGACAUGUACUUUGCAAUUAGAAGUUGUCCUGUUCCAGCUAUCAUCCCACACUGACUGUAUUAAGCUCUGGGAAUAUUCCUCUUUUAUUCAAAAUUACCCAUUCUAUGAGGUAGAUGUCAUUACCACUGUUCUGCAGAUUGGAAAGUAUCUUCAGCUAUUUGCUACUGAUUUGAAAGAAAUAAGUUGACAGAGUAGGGAAAUAAAUCUACUAAGUUUCAAGUCCCAGACUGACGCUUGUUGUAUCACUUGUUGAUGAAGGUUUUUUUCCAUCCCCAGUCUUACUAGUCUAAUGAAAACCAAAAUAAAUCUUGGUUCUCCAACAAAUUGUUUGUGGAUAAGCUGCAAACACAGCAUGAUCCCAACCAGGAUUAUAACUUACGAACCUCUAUAAACUCCAAGAUCUGCUCAGCAGAGUGAUGGCCUUCAUAUUCAUGAACGUCAGACUGAUUGAACACAACAGUUGUUGGAUAAGCUCGAAUGUUGUGCUAACAAAACACAGUAAGAAGGUACAAGGAAUUAUUAGGUGUCCUGUACAUUCCUUUAACUGCCAUUAGUACUGGUAUCUCCCAGCUGCUCAUCUGUCCUUUUUGUGCUACACAACCGCUUAAACUUACAAGUGGAGUGGAGUUUGAAACCUGUAUAGAAAAAAUGCCAGUUGUGUUCAUAUGGCAGUUUGUACUGAAUUGGAAAGCUAGUCAGCAGUUCUUUUGCCAUCCUUCACAAAACAGAAGUUAAUCCACAGGCUUUCUAAACCUUAACUUAAAGGCUAUCUUAGUCUCAGGUGAAGACCUGUGCCAUAUGAGGAUCUGUACUAUCUAACAUUGAAUGCAGAUGCUUUCAAAAUCAGAGUUCUUCAGUAGAAUACACCUAAACAUGACUUAAAAGCUUUCCCUUUUUUGAACAGCUUUAAGUGUUUUUAGAUGUCCACACUUCUAAUACAGAUAGAAAGCUUCUAACAGAAAAAGCUCUUUUAAACAAUAAGAUGUGCUGAUGCCUGCUAAAAUGUAGCACUUGCGAGAAUUCAGGGAGAGUAAUUCCAUUUUUUACCCAGAUAAGAUAACUGAAGCAAAACUAAGCAAAUUCAAAUAUGGAGAAAGAGCCAAGCUUUUUAGAACACAUAAACACCGUAUUGUUACAUACACAUAAAAAGAAAAUAACUAUCAAACAUAAGUUCUUGCAGCUUACCAUGUUACAAAGCCCCUCAUGGACUGUGCAGUCUAGUGUUCCAAAUUUAAGCUGACCAUAAAGAUGUUUUGAUGCUUUUCUCAGCUCCGGUAACAGAGCUCGACAGGGAGGACACCACUGGAAAACAAAAUGCAAAUGAAGGCAAUUGCUUGGCCCUGCAGCUGGCUCUCAGGAGAACAUCAGCUAUUUGAAAAGAAUAAUAUGCUGCUUUGGCAACAAGCUGCACUAAAAAUAACAAUCCGUGCAAUCUAGGAAAUACUGCUGCCAAGGAAUGAGAAAUUAUUGUACUGUCCCGUAAUGUUGAAGCACACCUUCAAGACACUGAUAGCAUUUUGUUACAUAAUUACAUAACACUUUUUAAAAAGGGUCAUGUAGAUACUAAAUAUUUACCGGUGCAAAGAAAUCCACAAGCCAGGGUUCCUUUUCUUUACCAGGAAAAUUCUGGGGUCCCAGUGUGAUAACAUGAGAGUUGACGCUUUCUUUGGCAAAUGCAACAAUGUCAUACAAGAUCUUCUUUCCUUCAAAGAACAAUGUAGAAAGGAAAUCAUUUUACCUUAUGAAAGAUCUCUUGAUAUCGUGUUGUUAGAAAUAUUGGAUGGAUGUGACUUCUGGCAAAAGUUGUGUGUGCCAUCAGCCUUGUAAAUAGCAAAUCAAAAUUCAGAAAAAUAUAUGCAUUGUAGUCCAAUAUAUUUCUCUGGCCCUAGUUAUAAUUUAUGCCAUUAUGAAAAGAUGUAGAAAUGCUGCAUGUGCACAACCUCUUCUUGGCUUUUCUGCAGUAGCAAUUGCAGAUAGGGAAAAACCUUAUAUACUGAGAGCACACACGAGAUGCAUGGGACCAUCCUUCCCUAUCAGAUGUGGUUCAUCUUUUCCAGGUGGUCAAAAAAUUUUCUUCUCUCUUCUUUAAGAUUACAGUGCUUAGGUUUUGACUGAUUUCUUGGCAAGCUGUUUCUAGUAGCUGAGAGGCUGAAGACUCAGAACCUCAUUAUGCAUAAUUGCCUUGUACUGCAUUCUGGAUCAAACAACACCAGUUAUUGCUAGCUACAGUUUUGUACCAUUGUACAUUAUUUUUUACAUUGUACCAUUUUUUACAUGGUACAUUGUACCACUAUUUUUUAAUCCUUUUAGAGGUACACAGUACUACAGUUACAAUCCUUCAUGGAACCAAACCAAACGAACAUAAGUGGCGAAGUCUUAAUACAGACUUUCUUGAACUGAAAUUAGUUAAGGAAUUUGUUUUAAGUGCAGUGACAUGAUAUCAAAUCCAAGUUUUUCAAGUGGCAGCACUGUAAAGCUGGCAGGUUAAGUCUCAAGGAAGUGUGUUCCUUGCAGCACUCUUUGGCUGUCCUACCCAAAACGUACGCUGUCUUGGUUAGCUUCAGAGAUUUCAUUUGUAUGUAAACAUAUUGGUGACUUUCAUAUAGACAAGAUAGAAAAGGCAAAGUACAUCUCUUAGUAUCUGGUGCCUCCUUCUGGGAGAGGAGAGAUAAAAGAAAAGUCUAUGCACGGUUACCUUAAUGUCAGAGACAAAAAGCAAAUAUUAAGACUACAGAACUGCUCCUUUAAUAAAGAAGAGCAGUUUGCCAAACGUGGCAUCAUCUUAAAGUGGUUAUGUAAUGACCUGGUCUUGCCAAAGCGUCCCUUACCAUGAUGAAUUUCGUAAUCUUCAAUUCCUUUUCCUUUGAACACUGCUAGACAUGGCUGAUACACAUAUAGUUUGUUGCAGAUGGUUGGAGAGGAAAGACAGUCAAACUUGCCAACCUAUUUAACAGAGUGCCAUUUUAAUUAAGGCAUCCAAAUUUAUACAGACUAACAUUCUGGAAUGCGGUAAAAAUAGGAUAAAUUCAUAAUAAAAGCAGUAAAAACAUGGACAACCAGUAGCCUUUUUAAAAAUAACAGCUCUUAAGACAAUCUUACAUCUAUGAUGUUUGAGCAAAACUGUCACAGCUAUAUUAGGUUGUUUUGCUAAUUUCAAAUUAGAAGGUCAAAAUAGAAUGACACCAAAAAGAAUCUUACUUUCUUCAAGGAAGCAGAAAGACUCCUGAAAUAAAUUAUGCUAGAAUCCUUCUAGCAUUGCAAUGAUUUUUUGAAAUCCACAGCUUAUAGAGUAACGCAAUCCACGUGUCUUUAGUACAAAGAUUGAAUCUGGUUUCUCUUUGCUAAGAUGACUUUCAAGAUAACAAUAGAGAUUUUUGAAUAAUACAGUUUUGCGUACAUCAAUUUCAUGUUGAAGCUUUAACUUUUGAUUGUUAACUGAAUGAGAUCUGCAGCAGUAUUUGCUGUGAGGGAAAAGAUGUAAAAUACAAUCUUUGCUAAUUACUUCUAAAUUAUUUAGAUAGGAUGGAAAACUUCACCACUUGCUUUAAUUUAAAAACGUCACUACUCAUCUACCAUACUAACAGCAUCUCUCUUUGGUAGCAGAGGUGGCAGUAGCAAAUCGUAAGGACCAACUUGUUCUCUGAAUACAAACGAAAGCCAGUGCUGGGUAAGUGAGCACUCUUACCUGAAUGUGUUCAUCUUUAAGUAAAAAUUUCAGUUUCUUAAA